rfam:Paenibacillus alvei DSM 29 PAV_6c, whole genome shotgun sequence.
CGAGGAAGGUCGGGAGAGUUUGACAAUGAUGAUUGUCAACACCGAAGGAGCAAGUUGCCAGCUGCCGAUUGGCAAUGAAUCUCUCAGGUACAAUAACCGCCAUUCUGAC